CCUACGGGUGGCAGCAGUGAGGAAUAUUGGUCAAUGGACGAGAGUCUGAACCAGCCAAGUAGCGUGAAGGAUGACUGCCCUAUGGGUUGUAAACUUCUUUUAUAUGGGAAUAAAAUGUUCCACGUGUGGGAUUUUGUAUGUACCAUAUGAAUAAGGAUCGGCUAACUCCGUGCCAGCAGCCGCGGUAAUACGGAGGAUCCGAGCGUUAUCCGGAUUUAUUGGGUUUAAAGGGAGCGUAGGUGGAUUGUUAAGUCAGGUGUGAAAGUUUGCGGCUCAACCGUAAAAUUGCAGUUGAAACUGGCAGUCUUGAGUGCAGUAGAGGUGGGCGGAAUUCGUGGUGUAGCGGUGAAAUGCUUAGAUAUCACGAAGAACUCCGAUUGCGAAGGCAGUUCACUGGACUGCAACUGACGCUGAGGCUCGAAAGUGUGGGUAUCAAACAGGAUUAGAUACCCCAGUAGUC
rnacentral:rRNA from 1 species